GUGUGCAUGAAAUGAAAAAAGUAUCACAAUAUAUAAAAAUAAACAUAACUUGUUCAUAAAUUAAUUAAAUUAAAACAACAAAAAUACUAAUUUACAGUGAGGGGAUCAACAUGUAGCAUCAAUCUAGUCAUCCUCUUCACUAGUUGUGUCGUCAUCUCCUUCUUCCUUUUUUUUCCCUCUUCUCCAUUUUAAUCAUUCUCUUUCUCCUCACUCUUUU
rnacentral:lncRNA from 1 species